GAUAUCUGGAAAUAACUGAAGAUAUGUAUACUUGCCCUUAUAUUUCUUGUUUACAUCUCUCAUUUUAUUUAAAAUAUUUAUAUUGAUGUUACACAUACGUUAAGAUCAUAUAAUAUACAUAUAAUUACGGAGAAAAUGAUUUGUCACUCAAUUAAAAUGCAUGUCAAGUUUUUUGUUUCAUGUAUUAACAAAAGUUACAUUCAAAAUUUCAAAACAAUAGCCAAAGUAAUGUUUAUUUAUUUUUGAAAUGUUAUCUCCAAAUUUAUCAAUCAUUCAAUCUAUUAAAAAAUAAAAAAUCAGUUAAGUGAAAUCUAUAUUUUUAAAUAGAAUAAACCUAAAAAUGAAAAAUUAAUUUUGUUUUUUCAAAAUAUUGAUAUCCGAACCCAAUCCAAAAUAACCAAAUCCGAACUAAAAUACCCGAACCAGAUUCGAAGUAUAGAAAUAUCCGAACGGGUUCAAUACCCCUAUACCGAAAUACCCAAAAAUCUGAAAUACCCGACCGACCCCGAACGGGUAUCCGACAAAUAAUCUUCUGCAUUUCUUGUGUACACUGGAUGAUGAUGAUUUAUUAGCGAAGGAGAAAAAAGAUAGUCUCCAUGUUUUAAUGUCAUUCUCGACUUUCCAUGUGGGGAAGAAACUUUAUAAUUUUAUACAAAAAUCUCUCCUCAAACCCAAAAUGCUAAUCUCUUGUGGCUUCUUCUUCAUUCUUCCCAGAUUCUCUGUAGAGGAGGAUCUAUGAAUCCAUCUCCUCCCCCUAUCUAAGCUCCUCUUCUUCUUCUUUUCCAUCGGUUACUCUGUUUCAGAAGAUUUUUUUGACUGAAGGCAUUCACUCUGUUUCAGAAGCUUCCAGAAGCAUCAAUGGCCGAGAGUUUAUCUGUUUAUACGGAAAGGACAGUGCAGAAAUUGUAAUAAAACAACCAAAGAGAUCACAUAUGUUCUUAAAGAUGAUAGUUUUGGUGUUUGCAAUGGUAUGUGGUCUCUACAUUUGUUCCGUCUGCUUAAAACAGUUUAGUGUCCAAACCUCACAACUUUUUCGAACUCGUAUCACUACUCGGAUUCAUUACCCAAAGCCAGAGACUUUCAAUAGGUAAGUAACACUUCUUGUUUCUUUGUUUGUUUAUUCACUUCUAACUUUGAAACUGAUCUGAAUGUGGGCACAAUCCGGUGAGGUUCUUUGUGAUACUAUCGAUGCAGAGAUCAGGAAGCGGUUGGUUCGAAACGUUGGUUUGAUAUCUCUCCACCGAUUCGUUACCCAGUGCUUGAAAAUAUGACGACUACGAAUCAGUUAAAUGGAGAAGCUCCAUUGCUUGUGUAGGUGGAAGCUCAAGCAACAACCGGAAACCUCGGCGUUAUCGGGAGUUAGCAUCGUUAUUUGCCAAAAUUAUUCAAGAGAAACCCUCGAACAGAUCUAAGCAAAGCAUUGAAGACGAAUCGUGGAGGAGAGUCAAUAGGAUUUAACACGAAGCCAUUAAUCAAACCGUUGCAGGUCGGGAAAAGAAUCGCAAAAAUCACGCCUAGCCGUCGCACGAAGAGAAGCGAUGAAUUUCGUUUUCUUGCUGUAGUCGUAUUAGGGAUAGACGGAGCUCAUUAUCAUUGAGCUGGAAACACUUCUAAUCUCACAGCCCAUGAACACACUAAAGAACGAAACCGAAAAUGCUGAAGUUUAAUGAAACGUGCAGUUUGCCUUAUGGACACGUGUCACUUCGAUAUGAAAUGACUUAUCUACGUGGAUCCUAGGUGUCUCUCUAAUGAGAGAAAACCAUACUUUAUAUAAAUAGAUUGUAUUAUCAAUGCACGUUUCUCUUAUGCUUAUUCUGGUAAGACAUUUCGAGCGGUCCAAACCAAAUAUACUGGUAUCAAUUUUGGUGGUCAGUGACCUAGUUACGUUUUGAAUAUCUAUCGCACUAUAUUUAUUUUCUCA